rnacentral:misc_RNA from 1 species
GAAAUGCGAUAAGUAGUGUGAAUUGCAGAAUUCCGUGAAUCAUCGAAUCUUUGAACGCACAUUGCGCCUUCCGGUAUUCCGGGAGGCAUGCCUGUUCGAGCGUCAUCAAAUACACUCAAGCUGGAACUUGUUCUUGUCUUGGAUUUGGAGUUGGAGCUGCCUCGUGUUGUUCCCAUCCGAAAUUCAUCGGCGGAGAUGUCUGUACCGGUAGGCGUAGUAAUCAACUUUAUGUUUCGCCGUUGUGCAAAUGAUCUGCUGCCAUUAACCCCCAUCAUUUUAGAGUUUGACCUCGGAUCAGGUAGGGAUACCCGCUGAACUUAA